rnacentral:rRNA from 1 species
AACGAACGCUGGCGGCAGGCUUAACACAUGCAAGUCGAACGCCCCGCAAGGGGAGUGGCAGACGGGUGAGUAACGCGUGGGAAUCUACCCAGUUCUACGGAACAACUGAGGGAAACUUCAGCUAAUACCGUAUACGCCCUACGGGGGAAAGAUUAUAUCGGAAUCGGAUGAGCCCGCGUUGGAUUAGCUAGUUGGUGAGGUAAUGGCUCACCAAGGCGAUGAUCCAUAGCUGGUCUGAGAGGAUGAUCGGCAACACUGGGACUGAGACACGGCCGAGACUCCUGCGGGGGGCAGCAGUGGGAAAUAUGGGACAAGGGGGGAAAGCGUGAUCCAGCCAUGCCGCGUGAGGGAUGAGGGCUUUAGGGUUAUAAACCUCUUUCGGUGGGGACGAUAAGGACGGUACCCACAGAAGAAGCCCCGACUAACUUCGUGCCAGCCGCCGCCAUAA